CCGAAUGGGGAAACCCAGUGUGAUUCGUCACACUAUCAUUAACUGAAUCCAUAGGUUAAUGAGGCGAACCGGGGGAACUGAAACAUCUAAGUACCCCGAGGAAAAGAAAUCAACCGAGAUUCCCCCAGUAGCGGCGAGCGAACGGGGAGGAGCCCAGAGCCUGAAUCAGCAUGUGUGUUAGUGGAAGCGUCUGGAAAGGYGCGCGAUACAGGGUGACAGCCCCGUACACAAAAGCGCAUGUGCUGUGAGCUCGAUGAGUAGGGCGGGACACGUGGUAUCCUGUCUGAAUAUGGGGGGACCAUCCUCCAAGGCUAAAUACUCCUGACUGACCGAUAGUGAACCAGUACCGUGAGGGAAAGGCGAAAAGAACCCCGGCGAGGGGAGUGAAAAAGAACCUGAAACCGUGUACGUACAAGCAGUGGGAGCCCCACCAC
rnacentral:rRNA from 1 species